AAAGUUUGGUGUUUGGAGAUUGGAAUAAGGACCACGUGGGAUCCCCACAUCCCUCAAAACCCUCCUCAUUUCCCGUUCACUGUCUUUCUCUCUCCUCCUUCACGAUUUCUCACUCUCUCUGUCUCUCUCCUUCGAACUCACACGGACCACCACCAAAACCACCCUAAAUCUAUACCAACGUCAAGUUUGAGACCACCAUUGGAAUCCUGAGGACUUCACGAUCACGUUGGUAUCCAUUUCAGGACAAUCCAAGCUCAUAGUGAGCUUAGUGAGGUCCCAAGGAAGCUCGGAGUGCUUCGUUGGAAGUUUUUGGACGUAAGAACACGGAGAUCGACAAGUUCAAAGUUUGGCCGGAGCUUUCGAGGCUUUUUCCGGCGAAUCCCCGGCGAGUUAGGAGUCGAGUUUCCGGCGACCUCCGAGGCUUUCGAGGCAGUUUCCGGCCAAACCACGGCGAACUAGGUGUUGUGGAAGGCGGCGAUCGUCGUGACGCCUUGAUGUGUGGUGCUAGGGAGUUGUUGGACGAACUCCAGGUGAGUGGGCAAAAUUGA
rnacentral:sRNA from 1 species